CUUUUAGUACACUCUGUAGUCAAUCCAGGUAGACAGGUGAAGGAAGAAGAGUAAAUUCCAGGCAGGGUCAGUUGAUGCUUUGGCACUAACAAUUGUAGAACUACACAAAAUAACCAUCUAAAUCUGCAUACCACAGAAAUAUUUGAAAGGUAGAUCUACUCUUUUUCAUCUGAGUAUCACACGAUAAUGCAAGUAUUUAAGAGCUACUGGUAAUAUCCACUUAGAGAUAGUCCAUGACAAACAACAGAGAUUGGCAGCCAUUGGCAUUAUGAGUUUCACUGAGUUAAUCAGAUUCCUCACAAUGAGGAAACCGACAGUGCAUCCACAAAGAGGAACAUCUCUGUCCUGCAGGCAACUUUAAGGAGGAUUUGGUUAUGUGUUUCAAUAAGAGAUUUAAAAUUGCACUCAUCAGUUUUCAGAAAUAUCAUUCAUUUAGAUUGUCACAGCUCAGUAGCCCUGGCAUUUAAAGUAGAAAAGGGGAGGUUACAAGACAGAGAUUUUUCUUCCCUGGAUGGGAGGCAGGACAGAAGAGAGGAUUGAAGAACAAGUCAAGUUAUAGCAUCUCUGCUCAGGUGCCUAGCAGUCCCUCUCAGGCUUUGUGCUGCUCACUGGUUUGCACUCUGUCACCCACCCCCUGAAUGUGUAGCCUUGCAGGCAGACUUGACUGCCCAGACUGAGUCAACACAAUCUGUGAGAAUGAUUUCAUGCUGGCACAGUCUUAACCAGUAAAGAUGUCUAAAAUUCAUAUAAACCUUUACAGAGCUGCCAGUUAGAAAAAAGAAAUGUAAAAUAUCUAAAGGGUAAGUGAAAUAAAGAAGUAUG
rnacentral:lncRNA from 1 species